rnacentral:ncRNA from 1 species
AUAAGGUCCCAAGGGUUGGGCUGUUCGCCCAUUAAAGCGGUACGUGAGCUGGGUUCAGACCGUCGUGAGACAGGUCGGUCUCUAUCCGCUGUGGGCGUAAGGGAUUUGAGGGGAGCUGCCCCUAGUACGAGAGGACCGGGGUGGACAGACCUCUGGUGUGCCAGUUGUCGUGCCAACGGCAUUGCUGGGUAGCCACGUCUGGCAGAGAUAACCGCUGAAAGCAUCUAAGUGGGAAACUCGCCCCAAGAUAAGAUCCCUCAUCCCCUUGUGGGAGUAAGGCCGCAGGGAGACUACCUGCUUGAUAGGCGGCAAGUGUAAGCGCAGCAAUGCGUUCAGCUAAGCCGUACUAAUGGCCGAGGGCUUAACCUG